rnacentral:rRNA from 1 species
GUGGGGAAUUUUGGACAAUGGGCGCAAGCCUGAUCCAGCAAUGCCGCGUGCAGGAAGAAGGCCUUCGGGUUGUAAACUGCUUUUGUACGGAACGAAACGGUCCGGGUUAAUACCCUGGGCUAAUGACGGUACCGUAAGAAUAAGCACCGACUAACUACGUGCCAGCAGCCGCGGUAAUACGUAGGGUGCAAGCGUUAAUCGGAAUUACUGGGCGUAAAGCGUGCGCAGGCGGUUUUGUAAGACAGGCGUGAAAUCCCCGGGCUCAACCUGGGAAUUGCGCUUGUGACUGCAAGGCUGGCGUGCGGCAGAGGGGGAUGGAAUUCCGCGUGUAGCAGUGAAAUGCGUAGAUAUGCGGAGGAACACCGAUGGCGAAGGCAAUCCCCUGGGCCUGCACUGACGCUCAUGCACGAAAGCGUGGGGAGCAAACAGGAUUAGAUACCCGUGUAGUCC